rnacentral:rRNA from 1 species
AUUGAACGCUGGCGGCAGGCCUAACACAUGCAAGUCGAACGAGUGGCGGACGGGUGAGUAAUGUCUGGGAAACUGCCCGAUGGAGGGGGGUAACUACUGGAAACGGUAGCUAAUACCGCAUACCAUCGGAUGUGCACAGAUGGGAGUAGCUAGUGGGUGGGGUAACGGCUCACCUAGGCGACGAUCCCUAGCUGGUCUGAGAGGAUGCAAAGCGACACUGGAACUCGGACACGGUCAGGACUCCUACGGGGGGCAGCAGUGGGGAAUAUUGCACAAGGGGCGCAAGCCUGAUGCAGCAAUGCCGCGUGUAUGAAGAAGGCCUUCGGGUUGUAAAGUACUUUCAGCGAGGAGGCGUUACUCGCAGAAGAAGCACCGGCUAACUCCGUGCCAGCAGCCGCGGUAAUAC